rnacentral:rRNA from 1 species
CGAGCCGUAAACAUUGUCUGCUAGUUUCCUGUGAUUAAUUUUGUGGGAGACGUAAGCAAAUGCGUUAAGCAGACCGCCUGGGGAGUACGGCCGCAAGGCUAAAACUCAAAGGAAUUGACGGGGGAGCGCACAACCGGUGGAGCAUGUGGUUUAAUUCGAUACGAAGCGAAAAACCUUACCCGGAUUUGACAUGUACCUGCACGUCCUAGGAAACUAGGAUUUCUUCGAGAGUGGUACACAGGUGA